rnacentral:tRNA from 1 species
ACAGUGGUGGCUCAGUGGUAAAAUUCUCAUCUUCCACGUGGGACACCCAGGUUCCAUUCCUGGCCAAUGCA